UGGAUAAAAGACCUGGCUCCUUACUUCCUUGCCAGCGUUUGGAUGGCCACCGAUGCUAUGAUGACUUUACAAAAAGCAUUUGGAUGUUUUCCCUUUCUGUGCGAGGUUCACUCUAGCCUGUGCCUCAAUCAUCACCUCUCCUCCUGUGACUCU